AGAGUUUGAUCAUGGCUCAGAAUGAACGCUGGCGGCGUGACUUAACACAUGCAAGUCGCGCGAGAAAGUUGGCUUCGGCCGGCGAGUACAGCGGCGGACGGGUGCGUAACACGUGGGUAAUCUGCCUGGGUGUGGGGGACAACUUGGGGAAACUCGAGCUAAUACCGCAUACGCUCCGAGGGCCACGGCCCGAGGAGGAAAGCUGGCCUCUUCUUGAAAGCUAGCGCUCCCAGAGGAACCCGCGCUCGAUUAGCUUGUUGGUGGGGUAACGGCCUACCAAGGCGACGAUCGAUAGCCGGCCUGAGAGGGUGAUCGGCCACACUGGAACUGAGACACGGCCCAGACUCCUACGGGAGGCAGCAGUGGGGAAUAUUGGACAAUGGGCGCAGCCUGAUCCAGCAACGCCGCGUUGGAGGACGAAGGCCUUCGGGCUCGUAAACUCCUGUCAGUAGGGACGAAAAAGCGAGGUCGAACAGGCCCCGCCAUUGACGGUACCUGCAGAGGAAGCCCCGGCUAACUCCGUGCCAGCAGCCGCGGUAAUACGGAGGGGGCUAGCGUUAUUCGGAAUUACUGGGCGUAAAGGGCGUGUAGGCGGCUUGAUAGGUCAAAGGUGAAAUCCCUCGGCUCAACCGAGGAACUGCCUUUGAAACCAUCUGGCUCGAGGUGGGAGGGGGUAGCGGAAUUCCUGGUGUAGCGGUGAAUGCGUACAUAUCAGGAGGAACACCGGUGGCGAAGGCGGCUUACCUGGACCAGUUCUGACGCUGAGGCGCGAAAGCGUGGGCAGCAAACAGGAUUAGAUACCCUGGUAGUCCACGCUGUAAACGAUGGG
rnacentral:rRNA from 1 species